AGUCUCCACGUUGGCGCCCAGAUCAUCCACCUCCAUGCGGAGCUCGCUCUUCUCCUUCUCCAGUUUCUGCCGCACCCGCUGCAGACUGUCCACCUGCUCGCCCAGCUCGGCCGCGCUCUCGGCCUGCUUGCGGCGCAGGGCAGCCACGGUGGCCUCGUGCCGCAGCGCUGCUUCCUCCAGCUCCCGCCGCAGCCGGCCCAGCUCGGCCUCCCGCUUGCGGCACCCCUCCCGCUGCCCCGCCGACGCCCCGCCAGCCUCCUCCAGCCGCUCGCUCAGCUCCUCCAGCUCCCGGGCCACUUCGGCCCUCUGCUUCUCCACGCGGGCCCGGGCCGCCCGCUCAGCCUCCAGCUCCUCUUCCAGCUCCUCUGCCCUAGCCUGGGGAUGGGCAGAUGGCAGCAGUCACCUCCAUGGGCCUCUGGCCCUGGCCGUUCCCACCCCCGUGCCCCAUACACACCUGCAGUUCCUUGAUCUUCUUCUGUAGCUGCGCCCCAAGGAGCUGUUCAUCCUCCACCCGCAGGUUCAGCUGACUUAACUCCGAGUCCUUCCUGGAGGUCGUGCGAGGUGUGAGCCAGGGCAGGGCCGACCUUCCAUCAACCUUCCUGGACAUCCCCCCGCCUCCCAGCCCUCCCACCUCCCUGCUCCCUGCCUGGGGCACCAAGCCCUAAGGGGCCUCACCCCACCCCCGCCAUCCCUCUCAAAUCCCCAGCCUGGAGCCUGCCUACACCCUAGUGAUCCCCGCCUCCAUCCUCCAUCCUCCAUAUUCAACUUCCACAGGGAUGCAGAAGUGACCAUAGAGUCCAGAGGUAGAAAUGGGGCACAGGCUUCGGAGACUGCCUGCAGGCCAGGGGGUCAGGUCUGCUGCCCGCCCCCCCCAACCCCAUCCCUACUUCUUGAGCUUCUCCUCCAGCUGCUGCUUGUCCUGGGCAGCGUCUGUCACCGACUCCUGCGUCAGUUUCAGGUCACCCUCAAGCUUGCGCUUCGCCCGCUCUGUGUCCAUGCGCAGCUUCUUCUCUUGCUCCAGGGAGCACUCCAGCUGUGAAGCCAGAGGGGUGGGCAGGCUCAGCCACCAGGCAUGGCAAGCCAUCGUCCCAGCUGCUCCAGCCCCACUACACAGGUCUCUACUGUGGCCGGGACUCACAUCUUCCACUUGCUGCUCCAGCCGGAGCUUGGCCUUGGCCAGUGCGCUCACACGGUCCUCCUCGGCCUGCAGGUCACCCAGGGCCUGCUGGUGGGCCUCCUGCAAUGCCUUCUUUUCCUUGGUCAGUCGGGCCACUGACUCGUCCAGGGCCGCCAUCUCCUCUGUCAGGUUCUUCACCUGUGCCAGGGUCAUCGUGAGGAUGCCCCUCCCACACUGUGGUCUGAGAAGCCACCACACCAGGUCACAGUAUCCGCCCCUUCCAACUAGAGGGCCUGGAGCAACUCACUUCACCCUGAGCUUCAAUUAUCAAUAGAUGCCAGUUUCCUUCAGUGUAACAUGUUCUAGACAGUCCUGGCUUCCCCUGGGAGCACCUGAGCAAGCAGCCCACUCCCAGCCUCCUUUCCCCUCCCAGUGCCCCAGCAGCACAUGGCAUCAGAGGCCUCUAGGGGCUGCGGAGCUGGGAAAGCAGCUUCCUACCCCUCAAGAGGCUUGCUGGCCAGGAUGGAUGACAAAUGCCAGCAUCUGCAGAGCACUGCCAUGUGCAAAGCCCGGGGUGAGUGCUAGCAGAAGCUGGUUACACACUGAAUUCCCCCACCACUCUAACAAGGUAAGUACUGCUAUGAACCCCAUUGGGCAGAUGAGCAAACUGAGGCCCACAGAGAGGAAGCAAGCUGCCCAAGGCCACCCAGCAGGCAUGCCCUCGAGCCGGGAGAGAGAGAGAAGCCCCAGCCAGGCCCACACCUUGUUCUCUGUGGCUUGUUUCUCCUUCUCUGCCUUGGCCAGCGUCAGCUCCAGGUCAUCAAUGUCCUUCUUGAGCUCCGUGCACUCAUCCUCCAGCUUGCGCCGGCGGGCAGCCAGGUCGGCGUUCACCUCCUCCUCAUCCUCCAGCCGCUCACUCAGCUCCUUCACCUUCGCCUCCAGCUGCACCUUGGACUUGAUCAGCAAGUGGCAGCGCUCCUCCGCAUCUGCCAAGUUGUCCUGCUCCUGGAGAGGGACGUGGGGAAUGAGCCAGCCAAGGGACCCCAGGCUAGGACCUGGAGCAGGAGGUUCAUGUGCCUGGGCAGAGGUCUGACAGCCAUGCGAACUGGGCUCAUGGAACAGGAAUGCCUGUGACCUUCCUGCUUGUGGCCCCAGGGGGCUCAAGGGUGGUAGAAUGAGAGUGGGCUUGAGGAGAUGGGAGGGCAGGGGCAGAAGUGGUACCCUGGAGAGGGGAACCUCCAUCACACAGGCUGGGGACAACCCAGAGGGACAUCCCAACAAAGGCUCUAGGGGAGAAGCUCUAGGCUGAGGCCUUCUCUCCCACCUCAACCUGUUUCCUCACCACCUGGCUGCCUCACACCCCCCUGCACUAGCAGCUGAAUUUGGUGACCACACCCUGCCUUCCCACCACCAUGUCUCCAGAGCCACCAUGAGGCCUGGCACACAGGUGAGACUCAAGGUUUGCGGCAGGAAGGAAUGGCUCUGUGGCUUGGGGAGAUUCCAGACCCCAGGUCCCUGCCACCUGGGUUCCCGCAAGCAGGGAGCAGGGGUGUGUCUCAGGGAGGGCAGGGGAGAGGGGGCUCCACCGUGGCUCCAGCAGGGAGCCCAGAGAGCACUGGUUCAGGAGCAUCAGGACACAUGGACAGACUCUGGGGCGGGGGGGAUGGGUCGCUAAGCAUGGACGUGAGCACACCAGCCACAGCUCCCAGCACAUCUGGGACUGGGAAGAAAGAUCCAGAUCCAGAGCACCCACGGUGUACCAGGUACCCCCUGGCCGGGGAGGGGGUGAUUAUGUAUUUCCUCAAUGCAGCCUGGGGUUCUCUGGGGUGCCAGGGGGCACAGGUCACCAGGGGAAACCCCUCUCUUCCCUUCUCCCACUCACUGCCUGCAGCUGCAGGGCCAGGUCGUUCUUCUCCUGGGUGACACUGACGUGUGUCUCCUCUAGCUCCUGGCGCUUGGCCUCCGCCGUGGCCAGUGCCCCUCGCAGUCCCCGCAGCUCUGCCCGCAGGGCUGCCAGCUCCUCCUCUGCCUGCGCUGAGCGCAGCAAUGGCUUCAUCUUGAAAAAGAGCUUCAUCCAUGACCAGUUCUUGACAGCGUUGAAGGCACGGAUAUUCCACUGGAUGAGCCACCUGGCCAGCCCCGGGGGAUAAGCUGACCCAGAUGACAGAGAAGGCGCUGGUAUUCGAGGCGCAUGAGGCGGCCCCGGCUCCGUGCCUGCAGCAGUGUCAAAACCUUGGCCAGACGCUGGUCACGAAGCUCCUCCAGAACACCAAGGAGCCCAGCUUUGAAGAACACCUGGGGUUAGGAGACGUACCAGGUGUAAAUCCCAACUGCCUGCAUGGCUCCUGUCCACUGUGACCACCCACACCUCGGCCAGCCCUCAGUCCUAUGUGCCCUGACCUUGGUGUGGCCAAACUGGUACUGGGUAUGGUCAAUGUCCAGGGAACCCAGGAGCUUCUCUGUGGCCUUCCUGCUGUCCAUGAAGGUGUCAUCCGGGAUGGCACUGGGGUUCAGGAUGCGGUACCUGGGAGAGCAGGGAAGCACUGGUGAGGAGGAGGCCAGACAGGGAAGCUUAGCAGAGGCUAGACAGAGGCUC